GGCUGGUCCGAUGGCAGUGGGUUAUCAGAACUUAUUAACAUUAGUGUCACUAAAGUUGGUAUACCCCCCCCCCCCCCCCACUGCUAAAUUUUGUUUGUA
rnacentral:Y_RNA from 1 species